UUGAUUGUGUUUAAUGAUUAAAAACAUACUUUUGAGACCCUUAAAUUGCUAAGUUUAAUUCACUUUAAUUCCAUUUGAGACCUUGAUGUAUUUGUUAAGUGAUUUUAGGCUUACAAGGCAAAGAUGG